rnacentral:rRNA from 1 species
UGGGGAAUAUUGCACAAUGGGCGCAAGCCUGAUGCAGCCAUGCCGCGUGUAGGAAGAAGGCCUUCGGGUUGUCAAGUACUUUCAGCGGGGAGGAAGGCGAUAAGGUUAAUAACCUUGUCGAUUGACGUUACCAGCAGAAGAAGCACCGGCUAACUCAGUGCCAGCAGCCGCGGUAAUACGGAGGGUGCAAGCGUUAAUCGGAAUUACUGGGCGUAAAGCGCACGCAGGCGGUCUGUCAAGUCGGAUGUGAAAUCCCCGGGCUCAACCUGGGAACUGCAUUCGAAACUGGCAGGCUAGAGUCUUGUAGAGGGGGGUAGAAUUCCAGGUGUAGCGGUGAAAUGCGUAGAGAUCUGGAGGAAUACCGGUGGCGAAGGCGGCCCCCUGGACAAAGACUGACGCUCAGGUGCGAAAGCGUGGGGAGCAAACA